UCCAGAUGCAGAGGAUGAGUACCUGGACAGAAUACCGAGAAGUAAAAGCUGGAGAUGUAAGAGGCAGGCAAGGCCCAGAUAGACAAGGAAAAAGGAAAUUUGGUUAUGUGGAGGCCUGCAGAAGAAAAAGGAAUAAACAACUAAGGUCUGCAACCUGUGCAAUUCAUUAGCAAGAAAAGAAGAUAUGGUCACAGUAGCAGAAAAGGAAACUUUUAUGAAAUCCACAACUGAAUCCACAAAGAAAUUAAGUGCUGACAACUACCUCCAGCACUAAAAAAAUGGAGGUUUUGCGGUCUUCAAAGUCACCAUCUAAUUUUAAAAUACAAUAUCUCUUAGUUUGCAAAAGUUGCUUCUUUAGUAUAUUUGCUUCAAGUAUCAGUAUAUAUUGAUCUAUAUCUAUCUAUGUACAGAUAUCUAUCUAUCUAUGUAUAUGUCUACAUUGUCCAAAUCUGAAAAUUACUUAUCAUAAUGUCUUUUGAAAUUAAAAUUCAAGUUUGUUCUUGCUUGACAGUUUUUGCGAUUCCAGUUCCUGCUUUUGAAAUAGGACACCGUAGCCUAUUUUUCACUUUUUUCUUGGUUUUCCUGGAGCAGGUAAUGAGCUUUGUUUGGUUUGGAGAAGUCCUUUCAAGAGCGAUUUACUUACGUCAUUUUAUCUAAAUCAUCAGUAAAUCCUUUAUAUGUAGUAGGAUUACCAGCACAUGCAGAUACUAAUUACUUUUAAAAAUUACUUCCCAUGUUUAGGUAUAUGAAUUAAAAUGUGCCUUUGCAGAAUUUAUAUUUACUAACUCCUUUCUUUUUCCCUAAUGUCCCAAUCAGGUAAUUGUGAGGCCUGUUUUAAAACCCUAGGUACUGCUGAAAUAUCAGCAAAUACUAUAACACUGAUGUAUCAUGCUAGUCUUGCUCUUACAGUAGCUAAAUAAUGCAUUCAAAUCAGUAUUUAGACAAGUAGCUGAUAUUUAACACUGGUUUUGAAUUACUGCACUCAAGAUUAAUACAGAUUUCAGAAAGUUGCAGGUUUCUCUGAUGUUUUAAAACAGAGCAUUGUGCAAUGAGACUGUUAUUAGCUAUAUUAAUGUUUUAUAAGUAGAGCAGCUGUAAUUAAAAGAAAUAAGCUGGCAUUUUCAGUUCUUCUAUUUUCUCUGUACAGGUCUUAAUUACCCUACCAUAAAAGCUGUAACAUUUUUUCACAUUUUUGGGGCCUUUCUAUGUGUAAUGCAGAAUUCAAGCUGUUAUUCCUGCAUAAAUUCUUUAAUUUGGUCUUGCUAUAACAUAAAAAAUAUUUUAAAGUGUCACAACAUGUUGCAUUUACUGCAUACAUUCAUUGGGAGGAUCAGAAAACAAUGUAUAAAAGUAUAUCAGCUUCCUAGGGAACCUGACACUGCUACUGAUGUUGUUUGUUUUCAAUAUGAAAUAAUGAAGAAUACUUACUUCAAAUAUGUUUGCAUUUUCCUUCUGGGUAUUUUUGAAAAUACCUUUCAAUACAAGUUCUUAUUUCAAUAAAAAAACCUUAAAAGCAUUGCACAGAAUCAACUUCUGCUCCCAGGGUUGUUUUUACUGAUGUUAUUCUUUUUAAUGCAGUUCCAGCAAUUAAUAGAAAUGGUUCUGAGUGGAGACAUCUGGAACACAAAGAUAAUUAUUCUGUGUACUGUGACUUGAUACAAUGAGUGGAGCUAAGGAUAUGCUUUCUAUCUCUCCAGCAGCAAAAAGUGAUCUAUCAUCCCAUGAACAGUACUAAAAGAAAAGAAAUCCUAUCUUGUUUUAAAUAGGACUCUCUAUUUCCUGUUACAGAACCCCAAAGCCUCAAACAAUACUAAAAACAAAAUUUGCAGAUCCUGGGACAACCCCAGAGUAAGUAGUCAGAAAAGAAUAGCAUCUAUUUUUUUGUUCCAAAGGGAAUACAGAAAAUGUUCUUUCCUGCUCCUGAAGAUGAGAAUUUAUUAGACCUCUUAGCAGAUAAUUUAGUUUUACAGUAGAUUACCAGGAAUUAGUGAGAUUGGUUAUGUCCCUAAUUAUGUUUUUUUUUAAAUGCCCUUAGUCUACUUUGAAAAAUUUUGAAGUGGAACUUUAUUAUGCUUACAGAAUUGUUUAAAGGAGUAUAGCACUCUCAAAAUAAGGGUCACAGGUGGAAUGUAGGAAAGCCAAUAUAAAAGGUAAUGGAAAAAUCCACUAUUUCUCUUUACUGCUUAAAUUAUAUGAUUGGGUAAAUGGAUUUCUCUUCUUUCUAGGAGUGUGCUUCUACAUUAGUCCAGCAGCAAUUAGAGAGAAGUUGCUCUACAAAUUGUCUCCAUGAAUCAUGUAGUUCAUCUUUUUAUUGUGUAAAACAUAAAAAAUUACUCCUAAUCAAUGCACUUCAAUUUUCUAUCUCAAAAUCAUUUAUCAUCCCUUUUUGGCCUAGAGUACUUCUGAGAUGUUUUCCUGAAAUGAAAUAAAAGGAGUUGGUAUUUGUUUCAGUGAGCAGAAUAUGGCUAUGUGAGGUAAAUCUUACUGUGGAAGCAACAGAGACUCUACAUUUUACCUAAAAGCUCUUAACAAAUUGAUCAAUGCAUUUAGAAUAAUUAGUCCACAUUUCAGAUGUAAUAGUGGUCUCUUAUUUAAUAAAUAAAAGAUGCAUCUCUUGAUUGCAAUAAUAGACUCAUAGAAUAGAAUCAUAAAACACCCUGAGUUGGAAGGGACCCAGAAGGUUCAUCAAAUUCAACUCCUGCCCCUGCACAGCACAAUCCUCAAGAGUCACACCAUGUGCCUGAAAGCAUUGUCCAAAUGCUUUUUGAACUCUGCCAGGCUGAUGUUAUGAUCCUGAUGCAGGGACCCUGGGGAGCCUGUUCCAGUGCCCAGCCACUACUGGGGUAAAAAACCUUUCCUAAUGUCAAGCCUACAUCUCCUUUGACACAACUUCAGGCCAUUUCCUUGUGUACUCUCUCUGACCGCCACAGAGAUCAGUGCCUGCCCCUCCUCUUCCCCUCAUGAGGAAGUUGUAACUGCAGUGAGGUCUGUCCUCAGUCUCCUCCAGGCUGAACAGACCAAGCAGCCUCAGCUGCUACUCACACAGCUUCCCUCAAGGCUAUUCACCAUCUUUGUAGCCUCCUUUGGACACAGUCUAAUAGGUUUAGAUCCUUCUCAUAUUAUGGCACUCCAAACUGCCCCCAGCCCUGGAGGUGAGGCUGCCCCAGCUCAGAGCAGAGCAGGACAAUCCCCUCCCUUGCCCAGCUGGCGAUGCUGUGCCCGGUGCACCCCAGGACAGGAUUGGCCCUCCUGGCUGCCAGGGCACUGCUAACCCAUGUUCUACUUGCCAGGACCCCCAGGUCCCUUUCCAUGGCACUGCUUACAGCAUCUCAUUCCCAGUCUGUCCAUACAUCCAGGGUUGCCCCAUCCCAGAUGCAGAAUCCAGCACUUUCCCCUGCUGAGCUUCAUAUGCUGGUGAUUGCCCAGACCUCUGAUUUGUGGAGGUCUCUCUGCAGGGCCUCUCCCUGCCUUGGAGGGAGUCAACAGCUCCUCCCAGUUUUGUAUCAUCUGCAAACUUGCUCAGUAUCCCUUCCAGUCCUGUGUCCAGGUCAUUUAUGAAACUGCUGAAGAGCAGAGGGCUGAGGAUGGGGCCCUGUGGAACCCCUCCAGUGACAGGUUCCCAGUCUGAUGUCACCCCAUUCACUGUAACCUUUGUGCCUGGCCCAUGAUGCUCCCAUCCCAUUAUGUGUUUAUCCAGCUGUGGGCUGCCCAUUUUUUUCCCAGAAGAAUCCUGUGAGAGACAAUAAUGAAGGCUUUACUGAAAUCUAGAAACAUCACAACAACUGGGCUUUCUUGGUCAUCUCCCGGGCCCUUCAGAGAAAAUGCUUAAAAGAUGACCAGCACCGAUGGACCGCAGCACCUUCAAAAGCUUUUUCCCCACAAGACCUUUCUCACUAUUACUCUGAGCAGCCUGACGUCUGCUCUGCCCCUGUCCAGAGCUGAAGUUUUGCUGGCACUUCUCCAAUUAACAGAGAUUUUAAACUUGUUUGCUUUAUGAUCACUGUGUGGAGCUUUCUCCCUGAAGUCAGGAUGCCUACUUUGUGAUUAUUCUCCUGAAUAAGGGUUGAGAGAAAGGACUAUCAUCACUAUUGUACCCUAUCAUCAAUUCAGUGGUAAGUUACAUUGACUACUAAUCAUCCUGGCUAGAAGGUCUAUAGUAGAUUCUCACACUGACAUCCACAUUAUUUUUUUGUCUCCUAAUCCUUUCCCAAAAGCUCUCAGCAGUGACAACUGCAAGCUCCAUAUAUUCCAGUGCUCCAUUACAUACAAUGUCACCCACCUUCACCACCUAUCCCUCUUAAAGUUCCUGUAACCAUCCAAUAUGGCACAACACUCCCACUGGGAUUCACUUAUGCCAGUGAUGUCAUGUCUCUGGGACUGGACCAAGGCUUUGAGCUCCUUUUGCUCACUCUUUAAGUUGCAUAUGUUUGUGUAGAAACAUUUCAAGUAUGAUUCAUUGUAGCUAACACCUCCUAGAGCAGACUGAGGAUGCCUCUAGCACUCAGCUCCUCAAGUUUUGGCAUGCCAUCCCAUUCCUUACCACCGGCAAGCCUGGUUUUGUCCCUUACCUACUUAAAAACUUGUUUAACGAUCUAUCUGCUGCUAGCUCCUGUGUUAGACCCUUUUCCCUCUCUGAGAAAGGUGCAUCCCAUCAGAUGACGGUAGACCAGAUGGUGUUAAAAACACCAUCCCACAGUCAAAAUGCUCAUUUUUCCAGUUACAUCAGACUCGUAUGCAUGUAUUGGACUGAUCAGUCUGCCUAUUCCUUUUGUUAUUCUUUCUUGCUGCUGAAAUGACCAAGAAAAACACUACCUGUGUUCCUGAUCCUUGAACCAAUCAUCCAAGGUGAUGAUUCAACACUGAAAUGUCUUAUUUUCUUAAAGAUACUAAAUUAUUUUGAACUUUCUGACCUACAGAUAGCAAGUUGCUUAACUAAAUAAGGGUUCUUUCUGGCUUAUAUUCCUCUGAGAAUUACAGAGAUUUCUUUUGUGAACAGUAGUGUUUUGUCAGCUUAAUGAUAGUUAUUAGCUCCUAGAAUAUAAUAUUCAUUGUGUUCAGGUUAAAGAACAGUUAGGAGAUAUGAUGAUAGGCUACUACUUUGUCAGGAAAUUAUUAAAUCUCUGUAUUUUCUGUAGUAUACAGGUGUGAUAUUAUUCAUGGCUGGACUAUUGCAAGGCUUAAUUAGUUGCUCUUGAGAUGCCCUGGCAGAGGGGGUUCUAAAGAGUACUGUUGUCUGAAUAAAUAUUUUGAGUCCAGUUUUGUAAUCCUCUGGAAAACAAUUAUAUUAUUACAGCGGGUAAAAAGCUAGAAUUCCAUGUCAUUAUAACAGUCAAACUUCUGAAGUUUGUUUCUCUUCUGUGCUGGAGUAAAAUCAAAACUUUUAAAGAAUUUUCACAAGAAAAAUUGCAUUGUAAUAGCAUUUUCUGAAAAAAUUAUUCAGAUUUUCAGUUUCAUCUUCUCUCAAUGGAAAUAACUGCCCAACUUAGGAUGUUUAAAACCUUUCUAACAAAAACUCCGUAGAGCUGACAAUGUCUUAUAUACACGUCAGCUUGGACAAUCAAGAUAUUGUCUCAAAAAUGUGUUUUUUGAAAAUGCUGCAACCAGAUUUACUGAUUUAAGUAUUUUCUGAUCAAUUUGAUCUUACUUGUGAUGUACCUGUACACAGAAACUAUGAUCUAAGGUUAUUCAAAUUUGACUUCCAUAUCCAUUUUUAGUUUUGCUGAAAGUAGUGGCGCCACAAAUAAAUCAUAUUCAGAAUGUCGUAAUGUUCCUAUUGGUACAUAAUAAUGAUACUUGAAAAUUUAUUAAGAUAGCAAAAAGUCUUCUCUAACUGUUUAAGUGAACCAGUGCAAUCAUUCUGUACAGCGCGUGUGAAACUCUAAUGCCCACUGCCUAAUAUGGCACGUGGCACCAGAGAACUGAGAAGUGAGCAGGUUCAAUUCUGACUCACAGAUGGAUAUGUGCAUCCAAAAUUCUCAUUUCAGUGUAUUCUGACUCUUAAAUGGCUAUGUGCAAACGAAAAUUCACAUGGUUUAAUUGGCCAACAGCAUGCAAGUACAGGAAAAAAACUGUUCAAACUCAUAAAUUCCAGGUUGAAUUUUUAAGGCUAAAAGAUAGACUAGAAGUCUCUUCAACCCUAUCAAAGUUUGUGCUGGAAAUUUUCUGGGUCAAAUUUUUAAUUAGAAUGUUACUUUAUGGUGAGUUAUACUUUUUAGGUGAAGGUGUCCUAGAACAACAGCAGGAAUUUCUACAUGCUUCCAAAAUUACCUUCACAGCCAGUGAAAGCUGGCUUGGAAAGCCAGAAAAUAAACUCUUAUCUCUGGGGUCCUAAUAUCUAAUACUGAUAAAACUAUUAUUACUAGUGCUCAACAGGAUUCUCAAAGAUUUGCUGUGUUCAGCAAAUGUGUCUGUCUGGUUCUUCAGAACACUGGGAGGAGGGAUGCAGGCUGUAUUUCAAAAAAAUUUUCUCAUGGUGCUUGGUUAUUAUAUCACAUAGCCUCUGAAUUUGGGUUUCAAAGAGCAGAUGAGAAAUACCAUUUACUGUCGUUUAAUGAGUGUACACGCAGUUCCAGAUAGGCUACUGUACUGCUUGUAAGUAUGGGAAGAGAUUUUUCAGAAAUAUUUGGAAAAAUGUGGUGCUUCUGAGUGCAGAUAAAGGGUUGGUUGGAACAGAAACAGAACUUACAAUGCAAACAAUAAGGUGCAAAUGCCAUUAUUGGCAUUAGUGUAGAUCUAAUUAUCUUGGACCUACUUAUUAUAAUCUAGCUCAAGAAAGGCAGGUAUGUAGGUAUAAGAAAUUAGAGCUUUGCUCCAGCAUUACAGGCAUUUUGAAGGACAUUGCUAGAUCUUUUGAAGCCUCCUGUUAUAUAGAGCUGUAGACUUAUCUUAGAGGCCACUAUGCUUAUCAUCAUUCUUGGGGUCAGGUUUCUUUUCUUUUAUUCGUUUUUACCUACAGAACUGCAGCCCCGCACCCCUGCCUGCCGAGACUCCUGCCAUCCCGGCUUGGUGCUCCUCAGACUCCUGCUGGGACAGCGGGAUCGGCUGCCCCAGAGUUUUCAAGGCGAAGCCUCUCCGCCAUCCCUUCCCGUCCGGGCCGAGCCGCCAUCGCCGCGCGCUCCCCGCGCCACAGCGCCCCCUGCAGCCGCGGGGGAGUCACCGCGCCUGCCCCGCCCCCCGGGAGCCAGCAGCGCCCCCGCUGGCCGUGCCCGGAACUGCAGCAGAGGGAAAGGGCCCGCGGCCGAGAAGGCCGGGCCUGGGCCCCGGGCUCUGUCUGGGGUCAGCGCCCGGCCGUGCGGGUUUGUUUGCUGUGUCAUACAUGCAGUAAAGAAAUGCUACUCCUACCCUCAUCUCUUUGCCCGAGAGCCCCUUCAUUUCAAAAUUAUAAUAAUUCAGUGUGUAGUAUAUGGUAGAGAUAAUUCAUGCUAUAUAUGUGUAUAAAAUCCAAACUAUGUCUUUGACCACCCUGGUUGGGAACAGAGUCUUAUUUCUAUUCAAUUAGUUCCUGGACAAUGUUAAGAUAACAUGAAGUCUGUUAACGUAUGAAUGAAACCUUCUUGGGCCAUGAUUGCUGAUUUCCCUGGAAUGUCUAAGCCACUCACAAGGAGUUGCACCUGGGAAGAUAGCAUCUACCAAACUCGAGCACCAGCACCACUCUGCUACAUGUGAAUGCAGGCUCUUCCGAAAAGUUCAGACAACCAUCCAGACAUCUGGACUGGCUUUUGUAUAUUUCUGCGUCUGUAUGGUCCCGGUUCUACAUGUGAAGGGACACGAACCUUCUGUCAUUUCUGCCUCCAGAAGAAUAAAUGGGAUAUAAGCUAGCGGCAUGAAGCAGUCGGGGUGAACCUCUGAGGAGACGCUGGCACUCUGUCAGUCUGAUCCAGGUUCACCCAGUGCCGACUUCUGGGGAUGACGCUGCCUUGGCUGUGGUGGUUUUUCAAAAUUCUGUUUUUGUUAUUGAUCGAAUAAAUCUUUGUUAAAUUUUAUUAUAAA